CAGCCAUUUCACAAAAUUUUUACUCCACACUCUCAAGUGAUAUGGCAUGAGUUUUAAAUGUACUAAAUGGCCCAGAUGGCUUGCAUUGCCUGGCUCUUCCUGGCAUGAUACUGGUUUCUGUCUUUCCUGCCUGACACAGAAGCUUCUAGAAAAUGACUCAUCAAAGGAUGUGGAUAAGACAUGGCAGAGGACCUGAGGACCAAUUCCAGAGAUGAGGUCUUGCUAUGUUGUCCAGGCUGGACUGGAACUCCUGGGACCAAGUGAUCCUCUACCUCAGCAUCCCAAGUAGCUGGACUACAGAUGCUCAUCUCAGACUGGAGAAAGUGCUCAAGUCCUUGGGGAGGCCUCUGUUCAGCGUCCCCGUCAGCUUGGACAGGCCACCAGGGAGCUCCUUGGGAGGACGGUUUCUGAAGGGACAAAUACUCCUGAUGGUCAUAUGACUGAAGAUGGAGUGCCAGAGACAGGACAGAACAAAGUGACAAGGCCCUCCCUCUUUCCCUCGCCUCAUCACCUGCCCCACCUUUGCUUCCCACAUGACAAAUCCUAGUGUGGCUUGCUGAUUUCUGGGCCUUUGGGAUUCAAAAUGGAGAGAAUGGGUCUGAACUACAGGUUAGGAUAGAAGGAAGGAAAGAGAAAAGAGAGUAAGGCUCCAAAGAGAGAAAGGAGAAGCAGGAUUCAGAAUGGAAACAUUUGGGUUCUAAAGCGUGUUGGAGUGUGAGCAGGAGGAGCCCAGAGACGGGGAGGCAUGGCUUGGGGGUAUAAACGGAUUCUUUUAUUGUUAUUCCAGAAUAUAAUUAAUGACUACAACUACUUUCCAGUGACCUGGUUUCUCGAGUUUUUUUCUUGUUAAUGUGCUUGCCCCAGGCAUAUCUAGGUUACCCUUGGAAUAACCACCUCCCUUAUUAUCUAUGACUAGUUGAAUUUAUUCUCUUUCUCACGCAGGGCAACUGUCCAGUGUGUUUUGGGGGAUGGGAAACACCUUUAAGGAGCCAAGAGCAGCCUGGUUUCGUGGUUGGCGGGCACUUUUCAUCUCUCGCCGAUGCUGGAAUUUUAGUGACGCUCAAGAAUUCUUGAUACUGUCAUUGAGGAUGGUUGAGAACCCUGAAGAAUGUGGCGUCAUAGCUGCAGAUUGAAUAGUGGGACAACUGUUUAAGAGCACAAGCUGCAAAGGAGGCAAGGUCAUUACGGUGGCCUAACCAGCAGGCAAGUCCAUUCUCCAAUAGGAAUUCGAUAAUGUUCACAAAUACCCACCUACCCCUGUGUAACAUGGCGCUCGGGAAGCCAACUCCAUCCAGCUCUUGGGAAGUCAGUGAUUUUCAACACUGGUGUGCCGAGAGGACCUUAGGUGUGCCACAAACAUUUUUAAAGAUUGUUAGUUAAAUUAUUUUCAAAAGAAGUUCAAAGCACA